CAUAAACCUAUGAUCAAGAGGAGUAAGAAUGAUUAGUUGUACUCAGAGAGCCGCUAGCUGGUGAGAAUGCGGUUACAAAGAUGAUUCUGAAUGGACUUGUGAGGGAAGCCCGAAAUUGAGAGAAAGUAGGCGCUUACGGGGAUCCUGUCCGUUAUCAGUGGGAUGUAUAUGAUAGUAUACAAAACGAGUGGGCGAUUUAUCGUCAAUUUGGGUGGUACCGCAGAAGUUUAAAGCUUUUGUCCCUAUU
rnacentral:ncRNA from 1 species